rnacentral:tRNA from 1 species
CGGUGGUGGGAUGGUGUCCAGGGCUACUCAAGAUGGUUUCAAGGCGGAACCAUUACCGCACAAGUUCGAGGCCGGUACUCCCAAC